GGUCCCGUGGUGCAAUGGUUAACACUCUGGACUUUGAAUCCAGCUAACCGAGUUCAAAUCUCGGUGGGACCU
rfam:Nematostella vectensis strain CH2 x CH6 NEMVEscaffold_900_Cont33828, whole genome shotgun sequence.